UGCGGCAGGUGCUACCUGGUCGGGGCGGUUUCCCGAGUCCACGCCGCUCGACGCCCGAUCCGUUCUUAUCUAUUCUUUCACCGCCCAUCUGUCCCGUCGAGCCAUAGCGCUCGCCGCCCUCGAUAGCUACCUCCGCGCCGUCCCACCCGAGGCCGUCGCUGCCGUCGUCGACCUCGUGUUCGCCUCCUCCCCAUCCUCCACCUCGCCCUCCAAGCUCUUCCGCACACUCCUCUUCUCCUUCCCGAAGGUGUAGGACGACGGUCACGGCCAUGCCGCCGGCUUCUGCCAUCCGCUCCCCCGCCUCUGCUACCCCAGGGACGCUAUGUGUGCACUUCUCGUGAGGGUCUUCCGGUCGCUCCUCCACCGGGAGGACGCCCAGCCUAGCCGGCUCCAGCAACAGGCCGGAAUGUCACUGGCCCAGACCUGCACCAUCUUCUCAAUCGAUCUGCUGCAGCGAGCUAUGUAGAUUCUGAUGGAUGAAGUGCAUGGUUUUUGUGUGCAGAAGAGAGCACGUGAACGAGGGGCUCUCCGGCGAAAUUGUGGGAGAUGCCGGGGCCGGGGGGCAGCGACCGCUCGUACGAUGCGGGCUGGGAUGAUUCGACCACCGCGAUGGGGCCCAUCGCCCACCUUUUCGACCUCCUUCCCGGUCGACCAGGUCAAAAUGUCUCAAGCCAAAAUUCAAAGGAAUGUCUCAUAAUUUUGCAUCUUCUGAACAAGAAUAAAAUAGAGCAGCGCAGUAGCUCGUUCAGAAAUUCAAACAAGGUUGGGGUAUUAGAGUACAGUUCAGAUGCAAAUGGAAAGUCUUAGUUCUACUCAAAGAGAAUGAUGAUGAUUCGGAUUGCAAGCUUGGCUAGUAGUACACCGAUCAUAUCUCGAGAGUGGUCUGGUAGAAGGCAUUCAUAAUCGCACAUAGCGUGCAUCUGAUUAAGCUUGGCAUCCUUGUCUGAUCUCAGUUGCACAUCCACAACCGAGUUGUACAUCAAGAGCUAAAUAGUUGGUCAGAGCAACUGAUUAAGAGGCUCAUCGUCCGCUACGGUGUAACUCAUGAAGUCACAUAUCAUUUGUUUGGCAUAUGUAGUAGUUGUAGUUGCACACAUAAUUAUUUCAGUUGGAUA